GACGAACGCUGGCGGCGUGCCUAAUACAUGCAAGUCGAACGCAGUGGGGACGGUUUAGUAACACGUGGGUAACCUCCCAUCAGAGGGGAUAACACUUGGAAACUGGUGCUAAACCGAUAUUGAUUGAUGUACCCGCGGUGCAUUCGCUAGUUGGUGAGGUAACGGCUCACCAAGGCCACGAUGCAUAGCUGGCCUGAGAGGGUGAUCGGCCACACUGGGACUGAGACACGGCCCAGACUCCUACGGGAGGCAGCAGUAGGGAAUCUUCGGCAAUGGACGAAAGUCUGACAGAGCAACGCCGCGUGUGUGAAGAAGGUUUUCGGGUCGUAAAGCUCUGUUGUUGGAGAAGCGGUAUCUAACCAGAAAGCAACGGCUAACUACGUGCCAGCAGCCGCGGUAAUAC
rnacentral:rRNA from 1 species